GACGUAGGGCGCGAGCGUUGUCCGGAUUUAUUGGGCGUAAAGAGCUCGUAGGCGGUCUGUCGCGUCGGGAGUGAAAACUUACAGCUUAACUGUGAGCGUGCUUCCGAUACGGGCAGACUUGAGGUAUUCAGGGGAGAACGGAAUUCCUGGUGUAGCGGUGAAAUGCGCAGAUAUCAGGAGGAACACCGGUGGCGAAGGCGGCGAUCUGGGAAGAUACUGACGCUGAGGUGCGAAAGCGUGGGGAGCAAACAGG
rnacentral:rRNA from 1 species